rnacentral:rRNA from 1 species
GUUGAACGCUGGCGGCAGGCCUAACACAUGCAGGUCGAGCGGAUGAAGGGAGCUUGCUCCUGGAUUCAGCGGCGGACGGGUGAGUAAUGCCUAGGAAUCUGCCUGGUUGUGGUGGAUAACGUCCGGAAACGGGCGCUAAUACCGCAUACGUCCUGAGGGAGAAAGUGGGGGAUCUUCGGACCUCACGCUAUCAGAUGAGCCUAGGUCGGAUUAGCUAGUUGGUGGGGUAAAGGCCUACCAAGGCGACGAUCCGUAGCUGGUCUGAGAGGAUGAUCAGUCACACGGGAACUGAGACAAGGUCCAGACUCCUACGGGAGGCAGCAGUGGGGAAUAUUGGACAAUGGGCGUAAGCCUGAUCCAGCCAUACCGAGUGGGUGAAGAAGGCCUUCGGGUUGUAAAGCCCUUUUGUUGGGAAAGAAAAGCAGCAGGUUAAUACCCCGCUGUUCUGACGGUACCAAAAGAAUAAGCACCGGCUAACUUCGUG